GCCGUGGUAGCUCAGUUGGGAGAGCGUUAGACUGAAGUCAAGGGACCAACAGGUCACAGGCCGAAAAAUCUACAGGUCAUCCGUUCAAUCCGGAUUCAUGGCA